UACGUAGGUGGCAAGCGUUGUCCGGAUUUAUUGGGUUUAAAGGGUGCGUAGGCGGCCCUGUAAGUCAGUGGUGAAAUACGGCAGCUCAACUGUCGAGGUGCCAUUGAUACUGCGGGGCUUGAGUGUUGACGAGGCAGGCGGAAUUGACGGUGUAGCGGUGAAAUGCUUAGAUAUCGUCAAGAACACCGAUAGCGAAGGCAGCCUGCCAGGCAACAACUGACGCUGAGGCACGAAAGUGCGGGGAUCAAACAGG
rnacentral:rRNA from 1 species